rnacentral:lncRNA from 1 species
GGGUAGUUGGGAAAAUCAUGUUACAAAGGAGUAUGGAGAAAAACAAGAAAAGAAAGAAAAAGAAAAGAUGAAAGAAGAACAAAAUCUAGAAAAAGAAUACAAUGAAUGAAAGUUGGAAACUGAGUUGAGAAUUGGUUUCAAUUGUCUUGGAGGAAAAGAGAGAAUGUAGUUAUCCUGCUUUGAUUUGUCUACUCUCUUAACUCAAGGUGCUUUGUAUUAAGAAAAACCAAAUUUUGUUCUUAGCUCAACC